rnacentral:rRNA from 1 species
ACGAACGCUGGCGGCGUGCUUAACACCUGCAAGUCGAACGGAAAGGCCCUGCUUUUGUGGGGUGCUCGAGUGGCGAACGGGUGAGUAACACGUGAGUAACCUGCCCUUGACUUUGGGAUAACUUCAGGAAACUGGGGCUAAUACCGGAUAGGAGCUCCUGCUGCAUGGUGGGGGUUGGAAAGUUUCGGCGGUUGGGGAUGGACUCGCGGCUUAUCAGCUUGUUGGUGGGGUAGUGGCUUACCAAGGCUUUGACGGGUAGCCGGCCUGAGAGGGUGACCGGCCACAUUGGGACUGAGGUACGGCCCAGACUCCUACGGGAGGCAGCAGUGGGAAAUAUUGCACAAUGGGCGGAAGCCUGAUGCAGCAACGCCGCGUGCGGGAUAACGGCCUUCGGGUUGUAAACCGCUUUCGCCUGUGACGAAGCGUGAGUGACGGUAAUGGGUAAAGAAGCACCGGCUAACUACGUG